rfam:Bacillus anthracis str. 'Ames Ancestor', complete genome.
AAAGAAUAAUAUAUAAGACCUCAUAUAAUCGCGGGGAUAUGGCCUGCAAGUCUCUACCUAACGACCGUUAUUCGUUAGACUAUGAGGGAAAGUCACUCGGUA